AUGGCUCAGCCGCUCACGCUCCUCGCCGCCGCUCUCCUCGCAGCCACCGUCUCCGUCUCGCUCGCCGCGGCCUCCGCGGCAACAGUGGAGUUCCCAAAGGAGGCCCUGCCGACCAGCUCCGGCUACCUGCCGGUGGACUCGCGCACCAACGCCUCCCUAUUCUACGCCUUCUACGAGGCCAGCCACCCGGUCUCCGCGCCGGUCGACACGCCGUUGCUCCUCUGGCUGCAGGGAGGGCCCGGCUGCUCUGGCCUUGUCGGCAACUUCUUCGAGCUCGGCCCCUACCUCGUCGCCCCGGACGCCGCCUCGCUCUCCCGCAACCCCUUCGCCUGGAACCGCCGCUUCGGGCUCCUCUUCCUCGACAGCCCGCUCGGCACCGGCUUCAGCGCCGCGCCGUCCCCCGCCGCCAUCCCGCGGGACCAGGCCGCCGUCGCCGCGCACGUCCUCGCCGCGCUCCAGUCGUUCUUCGACGCCAGCCCGGCUUCCUUCCGCGCGCGCCCCUUCUUCCUCUCCGGCGAGAGCUACGCCGGCAAGUACGUCCCGGCCGCCGGGGCGCACAUCCUCGCCGCGAACCCGGGCCUGCCGGCGGGGCGGCGGGUCAACCUACGCGGCGCCGCCAUCGGCAACGGGCUGACGCACCCGGUCGCGCAGCUGCCCACGCACGCCGACUCGGCCUACUUCACGGGGCUCAUCAACGCGCGGCAGCGGCGGGAGCUGGAGGCGCUGCAGGCCGAGGCGGUGGCGCUGGCACGGGCGGCGCGGUGGCGGGAGGCGUCGGACGCGCGGGGCCGCGUGCGCUCGUGGCUGCAGAACGCCACCGGGCUCGCCACGCUCUACGACUUGGGCAGGCAGCGGCCCUACGCGACGGCGACCGUGGCGCGGUUCGUGAACCGGGCGGAGGUGAAGGCGGCGCUGGGCGCGCGCCGGGACGUGUCCUGGGAGCAGUGCAGCCGCGCAGUGAGGGAGGCGAUGCACGACGACAUGAUGAAGAGCGUCAAGCCGGAGGUGGAGGCGCUGCUCCGGCGGCGGACGCGCGUGCUGCUGUACCAGGGCAUCCGCGACCCCUGGAUCGGCGUGGCGUCGCAGGAGGCGUGGAUGAAGGAGCUCAGCUGGGCCGAGCUGCGCGCGUUCCAGAAGGCCGAGCGCGUCGUCUGGCGGACCGGCGGCGGCGGCGAGGAGACGGAGCUCGCCGGGUACGUGCAGCGGUCGGGGGCGCUGACGCACGCCGUGGUGUACGGCGCUGGGCACAUGGUGCCGGCCGACAACGGGCGCGCGGCGCAGGAGAUGAUCGAGGGGUGGGUCACAGAGACAGGGGUGUUCGGCGGUGGCGUUUUACUCGGGCUGAUGCCGGCCGGUGGCCAGAUCGCUGCGUCCUGA
rnacentral:rRNA from 1 species